GCAUUGUACCUAAUACAAGUUUGUAUGUAUUCAUUUGGGCCUAACUCAGGCGGGCAGCUGGCAUAAAGCUCACACGUGGCAGUGGGGCUCAGGUGGCUUUUGGCAGAAAGAUUUAUCAUAACAGCUGGCCAUGCUGUAAUUGUCCUUGUCCUAGAAGUAUAAGCUAGAAACUUGUAACAAGAACUAUACAACCAUGCAUACCCUCUGACUUGGUAAUCCUACUCUUGGGAUUCUAUUCUAAGGUAAUAAUCCAAGUGAGAAACCAGAAUCAUCUGUGCAGGUUAUAUAUGGCAGCAUGUCCAUAAUAGGGGAAGAUGGAAGCUGCCCAAAUGCUCAGCCACUGCAAUGGUUCAGAGUCUUCUGUGACCACUGAGAUCGGGAGGCCUGGGGACUCUGUUCACACGAAUGGAAACGUGCACACAAAGCAGAAUGCAGAGUCGAGCAGCCACUCUCACUGCUUCCCAGACAUGGGGGUCUGUGCUUUGAUGAGCCCGGAAAAAAAAUACAGAUAGCUGGGACUUUUAUAUUCAUGAAAUUCUUCUGUAUAAAUGUAUCUAAACAUUUAUGCAACAUCUAUUUGAUGAAGAUGAAAUGCUGGUUAAAGUCUAACACCUGCGGAAACCAAGAAGUAGUCUAAAAGUCUUUCCUAGCACACAGGUUGUGCUGGCCUCUCUUGGAGAGCUGACCUAGCUGUUUCUUAGCUGAGCAUCAUGGGUGGUGUAGCCCAUUGCCUGCCUAAGGAGCCAUUUUAAGGAUGCUGCAACAGUCUCAGGUCCCCUUUUCUUCAGCUGCAGUCUUUUCACUUUUCCUUCAAGCGAAUGUGUUCUAGAACCCAGAGGAGGGACUUAAAACAAUAUGGAGUGAGAGGAGGGUUGGUCCGGUCACCUGAGGAUCUGACCCUGGACCUUUGGCCUGGCAACCUUCAAAUCUUGUGAUGUACCAUAGGGAAUCUUAAAAGUUGCUUUCUUAAGAAUGGGGUGCAGAACCGCCAACCAAAGCAGAGGAGCUCAGCCUGGAAACAGUCAUCCAUAAGAUAGUUCCAAAGGCUUUGAAAAACCCGAGUCUGGACACCUAGAAAGCUUCCAAUGGCCAUACCACAAAGUGUUCCAUCAGCAAUCAGAUGGGGGACUGGAUCAGAAGGAGUGCUUGGCUGUGUGACAGGCUCUCAUUGAGCCUGGAGUUCAUUGAUUUGGCUGCCUGGCAAAUGAACUCUGGGAAUUUACUUGUCUCCAGCCAUACCCAGGAUUGUGAUUACAGAAGAGUGCCAUUGCCCAGUUUUAGGAAAUUCUGGAAAUUUGGCAUUUUUACUUUAUUCUAAAUUCCAACAUGGUUGGCAUGUUAAUUACCAGCUUUCUUCAAAGUGGCAACAUAUGCGGGAGAAGCAAAGGAGUUGAGAUUGACUUUGAUGCCGGCCUUGGGAGGCCCAUGGUUACUUUGGGCCUGAGGAGAGGCAGGAUGGAGCAGCUGGGAGCUGUCCUGGAGGACACUGCUUGCUUCAUGAUGAAGAGGAAUAAAGAAAGAGCUGACCCUGUGAGGAAGGAAGAGACGGGAAGGAAGCUAUUGGGCUCUUUAUUGAUACCAACAAAAAUUUCUAGUAUUUUUCUUGUCUAGGGGAGGAGGACUCCCAGUUUAAUGGGGAUGAUGGAGAAUUUGGAACCACGAUUACAGAAAGGAAGAUUUCUUCUUACCAGGCUAUUAUUACGCAUUGCCGGAAAACAUCGAAGGUGGAAUGAAAGCAUCUCCCAUCUCUUCAAAAGUAAAAACAAAACCCACAAACGGUCCACCAGACAACCCCUCCACAGUCUCCAAAUUCCACCAGUAGUGCAUCAUCUUGAGGCUCCACCCCAUUUCCUUCACCCCCUUUCUGUCCUCCACUCUACAGCUCAGUCUCUCUUUACUCAAAUCAGUAGCUGGUUUUCACUGUGUGCUAUUACGUUACUUAUUUAUAAAGUCAAAUACUUGCAAAGUGCUUAUUACCGUUGGGCAUUGUGCCAAGCAUAGGUGUUAACUCCCUUAAUUCUGUGAGUUAGGUGUUUUAUUGACUAUUUUAUAAAUGAGGAGCCAGAAGCAGUCCGGUCAUGGCACUUGGCAAGGUGCCAGGCUUGUGAGUGGCCAGCCUGAGGCUGAGUUCAGAACCAUCUGCUACUGAGGAUGGGGGUCCUGCCCUGACCUCUGCAGUGGCCAAGUUUGGUCAAGACUGUUGACUGAUGGACAGCUCCCUUUGCUUCGGGCAUCUGUCUUGAACUUUUUGGAUAACUGCACGGUUAGACACAGUCUUCCUGUCUCUUCUUUGUGGGAACUCUUAGGCAUGAAGCCUGUACUGGCAGGGAAGAAGCACAAAGACACCCCCAGGAGCACCCCUGUUCCCAAACAAUAAUUCUAUGGGCUGAUGAAAUAAUACUUAAAAACUGUGUAUUAAGAAAUUCAAGGUAUAAUCAAUUCAUCCAAUCUGAGUUCCGUGAGGGCCAGUUUCUUUUCUAGUCCCCAAAGUUGGUUUCUCCUCUUCCAAAGGAAAUAUUUAUUAUGCAUUUUCUUUCACUUAAAAAUAUUUAACAACUGAUUUGUGUGUUGCAUGAAAGUUACACAUUUCCUAAGAUGCAUUUGCUAUUUUAUUUUCUUUUCAUUCAAAAAUAUGUCAGUAAUCUUUUUGUUAACAUGAAGAUAAAGGAUUAGUAAUGCAAGGUGCAGUUUUCUUGUAGCCUUCUUGAAAGCAGGCUAUAGUUUCUUAUCUGGCUCCAACAUUCAUUUUCCUGAAUUGAAAAAAAAAGGUGACUUAAAAUGAAAUAUACCACAUUUGAUUCCUGAGAGCAUCGCUGGCAGGGAAAUGUACUGAGAGAGGCAGACUUGGUCAGGUUCCAGAGAGCCCCUCUGCUGCCCAAGUGAGGGAAUUGACUAAUUUUGCAUUUUAAAGCACAGUAUUAAUGCAGGAGGAAUUGUGAAUUGUCUCCCAGUUGUUACUAAUCGGAAGAUAUGUAUGAUUUUAUUUCCUGGAGAAUUCAAGCUGUUAGGAAAAGAAAACAGUGAAGUGUAAGCCUUCAUAAUUUCAGUUUAAUUUUUUUUAAAAUGUGAGUUUCUAUUUACAGAGCUGGAUGCUGAAAGCAUUGAGAUGAAGGGGGAAAGUGCCCAGCCUGAUGGGCACCUCGACUCCUGUGACCUGUGAUGGCACAGGAGGGAGGUGUCCCAGCAGAAAAGACAGCCCUUGUUUUCCCUCUCAACUGCUAUGUUCAGGCUUAAGUGGAGAGGUUUUAUAGCUCUUUUAUGAUUUUUAAUAUGAGGCCUAAGCGAGUGUAGAUCCAAUGUUUAAGUCUCAAGUUGUUUAAUGUCACCAGGCUAUACAUGGGAACCCACUGCCCUGACACUAUCUUAGGUUAACUGACCAUGUUCACAGGCUCAGCCUAUACUAGCCCCACACGAAUACCCAGCUUUAGCAGGGAACUGGAAUCCUGUUACCAGACUGGCCAGAGCAAACCCGGGGCAUUUACAGUGUGCUUCCCUCAGACUUUGAACCUGCCCCAGCAAACACCACUUCCCUUCUCUGGGCUAGGCCCUGGCCAGAGCCUUGAAGGACCACUGGUGUAGAAGACCCGAGAAACUUUCCACAGGUAACAAACGUUAAGGGGAGGUGAGUACACCAGAGGAGGCACAUGUGGCCCAACCCAGGGGCUCAGGGAUGCCCCCUGGAGGCAGUGUUAGUGGAAUGUUGGUGGGAAGUCCUUGCCAGGUGUGGCUGUGUGAGAGACACUGCAGGGAAACAACAGCACAGUAGAAGCCCUGGCCUGCUGUUAGUUGGUACCUAAAGGACUGAGCUUCUGGUUGUGGCUGUCCUUGGAGAGGGGCUUUCUGUGAUGUGAGGGGUGCCUCCUGUCUGAGAGGAUCUGUAGUUGUGAGCUGGAAGUUGACUCUGUUUUGUGCCACCAGGCAUGUGAGACUUUCUUCUGAGAGGACUGGUGAGCUAACCAAAAGAGCAGCUGAAGCAGGGCAGGCCAGAAAGGUGAGCACCCAUCUAGGGAGGGGAGGCAGACUAGAAAGGGGAGCACUGAUCUAGGGAGGAGAGGCAGGCUUUGGGAGGUUGUUAGGACUCACGAGGACCCCACGUUACUGGGAAGGAGGUAUAGUGUAUGAGCAUGAGGAAAUGGUUCUGGCAAUCAACCACGUGUUCUGCCUUGAGCAAGACAGGAAGUGAGGUCAGGAAGGUCUAAGCUGGAGAGUAUCGAGGGAUCAAGGCAGUCUCAGGGCACUUGAAGUCUGAAUAUCCCUAAAGGAGGUGCUAUACUUUGCAGGUGAGGUGCCCCUUCCGCCUCAGGGCUUCUGUAUCUGGUGGUUGGUUGGUGCUAUUUAGAGACAGUUGGAGUAUGAAGGCUCUUCCCUCAACAAUAGGUUACAUCUUGAUACACCCGUAAUAGAGGACAUUAUUGGUAAGUGGUAGAGAGAAGGAGGCAGGGUGUUCCCUUGAUGGGCAUAAAUUGAUCCUAGUCUUUUCCUGUUACUGUCUUUGCUUCCUGACCUCUUCAUUCAUGUGCUUGCAUCACGACAGCAGACUGCUUUGCCUCAGACUCUAAGUUACAGAGCCAGAUCACCCUGGGCUGAAACCUUUGAGCCCAUAUCUUUCUUCUCUUGAAAUCAUUUCUUUCAGACAUUUGUCCCACUGAUGAAAACUGACCAAUAGUAGCUAAACAACAGCAGUUAAAGCUGCUUUUCUCAUUAAACCCGAGCCCCCUAGAACCCUUUUCUCCACUUAGAGGGCCUGGAGCCAGGUGAGGCUUUGAAGAACAAGUCCAUGCAGGGAUGGAGAGAGAAGAGAGAGGACAGGAUGGGAAUAUGCCCCUCCCCCUGUCAUGUUUCCCCCCUGGUUUUAAUGAGAGUGUUUUUAAAUGUUACUUUGAGAAGAAUUAGAAACUUAAAGAUAGCUAUCCUAGGUUAGAAAGACCUGGAAGUGAUGGUCCGCCUGGGGAAGGAGAAGCUGACACAAUCCCACAACAGAGAUGGAUCCGAGAUGAGGCCAGGGGAGGAAGCUACCGGGUGGUUCUUGGAAAUAAUAUUUCAGAAAAGGCAGAGAGAGUGUGGCUAACCCAGGAUCAAAACUGAGCAAAUAUUCACCAUGUUGAGUUGCAUUUAAUGGUAGGCUCCGGGAUGUGCAAAGCCAGGUGCUCAGAGGAGGAAGCACGAGCUAGUGCUCUUCUUCAGAAGUCACAGGACCCUCUGGAGAUAAUGUUUCUGCCUUUGUUGUCAAUAUCCUGGGGCUGCCUUUGCACACUCCAUAUCCUUACACACAAAGCUUGCAAAAAAGCUUUGCUUUCUGCCCUCAUGACCUCUGGCCUGAUAUCCAGCUCAUGCUUGUAGAUAAACACUUUAUUUGGAGUACAUGGCCAACACAACAUGAACUCAGUGGUAAUUUUUGGAGUUUUUUGUCUCGUAAAUCUUUGUCUGAACUUUUUCUUCUUAACAUUGCAUAUCUUUUGCUUAUAUGUUAUGGUUUCCUAUUUUGUUUUUAUGGGUUUCCUCAAUGUGUUUCUCAGAAUCUGUAUGUGUUUCUUGUGGUUUUUAUAUGCCUUAUCUCUUCUCCUUUGUUUGUUCUGUCCUAUUCUGGUUUGUUUAUUUUUUUUUAUUUUAACUUUUAUUAUUAUCAUUAUUAUUUUUAGAUGCCUGUUUGUAUUCUAAUGGAAGAGAGAGAAAGAAAGGGUAUGGAUUUGGCUGGAUCUGGGAGGAGUUGGGGGAGAUGAAAUGGUAAUUAGACUGUUGUAUGAAAAAACUAUUUUCAAUUAAAAAAAAGAAAGAAUCAAGUGGAGAGAGGAAGCUGGGGGACCACGAGACCUUCUGGAGGGGGGGCAGAGAGCUGUGCAUCAUAGGCUUCACAUGGGAGACCAGAGCCUGACACAGAGGUGGCCUGAGAUGCAAGGAGGUGGCAUAGUGGGGCAUGCCUCUCUAUCAAGGCUCCGUCUCCUCUACUGGGCUCUCUGUUCCUGACCUCUGCCCUUCUUUGAUGACCUUUCUCUUCCAUCCUACACAGCCUGCCAAGGUCACUGAAGAGAAGACACAAAGGAACAGAUCAAGAGCCAACUCUUGACAGCUGAAUUCUCUAAAUAGAUUUACCAACUUGUGGCAGGGGCAACCCUUUUGAAAGCCAAAGGUUUUGAUUUGAAACUUUUUUUUCCACUUCAAAAGAGUAAGCCCCUGGAGAAGCUGGGGACACAGUUAACCCCAAACAGUGGUUUCCAAUCCACCACACACAGCAAGACUCCCUUUUCUCUUCAAUUUUGCUAUAACAGGAAAUUUCAAAGAUGGCCACUGAUGGAGAGAAUAGUAAAAUGACCUGAUGUUCUCACUGUUUAGCUGAGAGCAAGUGUUGACACCUGGACACACCCUGUUUCAUCUCAUUCUGAUCCACUCCAUCAUAUGGAGGAUCUCACAGCAAAUUAUCCAAUUGUACCUGCAAGUACUUCUCCUGUAAAGUCAAAGGACUUUAGAAAGCAUAGGCCCAGGGCUGGAGAGAUGGCUGAGUGGGUAAAGGUGCUUGUCAUGAAAGGCUGGAACCCUGGGUUCCAUAAAGAUGAGAGGAAAGAACUGACUCCUGGGAGUUUUUAUUUAAUCUCUCU